UGUAAACCACGUACGAGUGUGGCGCAGAAAGCGAAAUGUUUUGCAGCGAGUCAAGCGUAAUACAAUCAAAAGGAAAUGGGGUCGAUGCUAAAACUCAAACAGUUCCCCAGAGGGGGCCCCGGGUUGAAAGAGCAAGCUACAUUCUUUCAUAGAAGACAGAAAAUAAGAGGACUGGUGCUUUCUUACUUCAUCUUAAUAUAGGGAUUAUAGCAUUGGAAUUAUGGAAUUUGAAUGGAUUGAGUACAUCAAGAUGAAGAAAUUAACGUAAUAAGCGAUAUUCUCAAAAGAUUCGGUCAUGCCAGAAACCUCAGUGUGCAUGGCACUAAAAAGGGUACAAAGAACCUGAGAUGCAAGUAAUGGCUGAAUAGCCGGGGAAACACUAAAUAAAGACAAGUGUCAUCCGGACUUACUUGAUUGAUUGAAUCGAGAGAUGGAAAUGCCAUUGAGAGAUUAGAAGGGAUAGAGAAAACGUCAGAUAGAGGUCGUGCUUCUGCUCAGUCCAAAAGAACAAUCUGAGUGAGGAUAAGGUGGUUUAUGUUAGGGUCCGAGAAAGCAACUUGACAUGCCAAUCCUAACAAGAAUUCCACUCUUUCUGGUCAUGUCAGAAACCACCUCUUGGAAAGCAGAUCGAAAGCCAAUCGUUUCAGAAGAUGAUGACCCUCUUGUGCUCCUACGUUCCUGCUAGUUGGUGGAUGAAGAAUAGGAGAGAGCUUGCUUGAGUAGAAGAUAACCCGCAAGAAGGAUGUUUUGUAGCACUUUCUCAUACAAAAGGAAAAGGCGUCACGACCGAAGAUAAGGAAAGAUCCCAGCUUUUCAUUGCUCUGUCGCGCCACCCCUCCUCCCAGAGCCGGUUCUUAUCCAUAGAUUUUUCAGCUAAAAGAUACGGUAUAUAUAUCAAUGAAAGCUGGCGCCUUUGGUUCUUGGUACGACUGGUACUUUUUCUCAUUUAUCGGUCUAGUUGGAAAAAUUUCCCCUCAAAGAGCAAGUUUGUCUUAUAUAUUAUGCUGCGCCCUUGCCCUUCCUUUCUCUUCUAUAAAAAGGCUGGACGUCAAAUGUAACUGAUGCUUAUAUUCUAAAUAUGACAAGCAAGAAACCUACUAUUGCCGUAAACAAAAACCCAAACAUUAGUAACUAAUAGAGCUUUCCUAUUCUAACUAUUUCCCUAUAAACCAUGAUUGAUAUACCAAUCAAAAAAGACUUCUGAAACUAAACUAUUCUAUUGAUUUAUGCCCGUGCUUCUUCUUCUGUUUUUGUACGCAGAAGGAUGUCUAGGAGGAAUAGAUCACUGAGGUUAAGGAUGAGAAGGUGAAAAGUGAAGAUAGAGAAUAGAUGCCAUGAACAAGUGUAUCAAUUCAAGAGUUAAGGAAUACUAUUGGGAAGAUUGGGCAUUGGGUUCAUCUUGUUAUUGACCAUCCCUUUUCAACACAUAUCUUUUAGUAUACGUCUUUUUUAGUUGCUUAAAGAUUUCAGAUAUUGCUUUUUCUGUUAUAGGAAGUGUUGCGUUCCCCUUUAGGGUGUUUGUCAGUGGCGUCACCCGAUAGGGUGUGUGCCCGGAAGAGAGAAGAAAAACAUGUUGCUUGCUAUUUCUGGUUGAAGAGCUAUUUUUUCCUAUCGAACAGGAAUUCCGAGGGAUGUUUUUUGUUGUCGAUUUGUAGCAAUAGAAAGAUAAUGGAAGUGAUUGAAUAAGUUGGGUCAUGAGAAUGGAAGUUUGGUCAUGUUGAUACUAGAUCCAUGUCUUGAUUAUUCGACUUUUCCAUUCCAAUGCACAAUACUAUGCAUUCCAUUCCAAAGAGCGGUUUCGGUGGGUUGAUACGAUUUCCACUUUGACGGUCCUAAGUUCGCAUUCUUUGCAGAUAACUUCCAUCUCGCCAUAGACGAAAAGUACCCAAUUUCAUGCCAAGAGACCAUGUAAGGGUUGUACGACCCAUCCAUAUGAUAAAAAGACUCACAAGCCUAAGAGCAAUUCCUUCCUUCCCUAUCAUUAAUUAAGGACUGGCUUGCUUCGAGAGAAAGGAAAUCUGAAUUCCAUAGUCGUCUUCCUCACGAGCUGGAACAACUAAAGGUGUAGGUUGGAAACAUACUUUUUUUCCGUUGGAUUGUGCUCCAGAGAAUGGAAUAGUAACACGCGCUCCCGAGAGGCGGCAUUAGUUUAUGGUUCGAAAGCACGAGUCACUCCAUCCAGCUAUACUUGCAUUGAUAUAGACGAUUUGAGCCUUUGAAUUUACUUACUACAAAACAAGCUAUGUUCUCCUAUAUAUUUCCUUGGGCUCGCUUUACAAAAGAAAAACAAACUACUCCUCUUGAUGUGGUCAGAGCGAAGUACUAAUAGGCACAGAAACAGUAGGAAUAUCUUUCAUUCAUUUCAUCUGUAUGGUAUGACACGACCUCUUUUUGCUCCCCAUUUCGUUGGAACUGAGGCCUCUGUCUACCGGCCCGAAAGGAGGGUCUCAUGCUUGUAAACUAGCAUAUAUCUUGCACAUAAUGAACCUUCCUUCAGUCACAACGAGAAGCACUAUCGGGGUCUGAACGAAUAGAAAACACAAUCAACACUUCAUAUCAAAGUCAACCAACGUUUAUCAUAUAGAGCGGAAUCUUCAUUCUAAUUUGAUUAGCCAACCCUCCCUCGAGUCGUAUGCUUUCUGAUCACUCUCCUAUGCUGGUUACUUUUCUUUCAAACAUUACGUCGUUGCAGGUCCUCGCCCUUCAGGUUGAAGGAGAUGUGUACUCGACUUCCUUUAAGUAAGUGGUGGCCCAUAAUAGUAGAGAUGUAUAACAACAGUAGCUUAACCAAAGGGAUAGACUUGAACUCUUCCACACCCCCUUGCCAGAGGUUUUAAGAGAACAACCUUUUGGGGAUACCAAUUCCACCCAUUCGCAGCAAAGGAACUAGCACUUUCUUAAGCUUUCCACCGUUCUUGCUUAUUCCCCUUACUUACCCAAUGAAAGAUAUAGAUUGGAAAUUGGAAGAUGGUCGUCCAUAGUUAUCUUGUUGAAAAUACCCUCCCUUACUCAUCAAAACGUUGGAAGCGACUUGAGAUAUCUUUUGGGAAGAGAGAAUAACUAUAGAUGCUCGAUAUGCAUAUUGAUCAAUCGAUCUCCGAGUCCUGCCAGUUCGCUAAGUAGACUCACUCUACCGAGGGGAGGAAGAAGAUCAAGCCGAUAAGGGGAAGCGCUGAGAAAAAUCUCUCUCUUAUCUAAAUAUAAGAGCACGCUUUAUCUCUAUGCACACAGAAAAAGGGGAUCUUGUGAUGAUGGGAAUGGUACGUAUGUGGACCACUUUGGCUCCGCCCAAAAGCCCCUGAGCCGACUAUCUCCUGGCACAGCCAAAGCAUUUCCUUGCCCGAGGCCUGCUCAAAGCUAACUUGAAUCCGAACAGCUUGCUGCUUCUCCGAAACCUUCACCAGCUUGUGUAUCCUUGUAAGGUCGCGGACCCGGCGUAAGAACGAGAAACGUGAGUCUAGCAUGACAUAAACCCAAACCCCGGCACUUUUGAUACUUCUCAUCACAGGACAAGUCACAGAAGAGGUAAGGCGCUAUAGCCAGUGAAGGAACGGGAAAGAAGAAUCAGUGGAAUUGACCAAUAAUUUAUACCAUUACGACUUUGAAUAAUCGCUAAUAGCUGACACCAAUGGAAUAUUUUUGGACCCUAAGGCUCACGUUGACUCCGUCCUUUAUUGAAUAGCCAAGUCGUCGUGAGUAAGCGUACGAUCCAUCACACAAACGUCCCUAAACCUCAGUAAGCCUUUCUAGAUGAUGCAUUUCCCUUCUUAUCUAUCGAUGUAUUCAUCUGAGGCCACAGGCAGGUAUAUAUCUACGAGUGGUUUAUAUAAAGGAGGGUCCUGAUAAGAAUGCUGUUCGGAAAAGGCGAAACAAGUUGUGUUGACUGAGGCUCAGAAUACGUUCUUGCACCACUCCUUUCAAACACACAUACCCUUUCUUCUCACAAAUGUGAAAUUCCGGAACUCUGUGUGUAAUUGUUGCAACAAUGAUAGGGACUCUGCCGAGGGCUCCCCGGUAGGUUCUAGUCUCUCUUUAUACUGCGACUGGAGCAAGGCGUAAUGGGCUGUGUUGUAUGUUGAUCAAGGAGGUGCUGCAUUGGCUGUAGCUGCAAGAGGUCUUGAGACAGAAAUUAUGCCAUUAUUGCUUCUUUCAUUUAAAAGCUUGACAAUAAGCUCAUUAUCACAGCUAAUUGUUCAUCAGGAAAUCUAUCAUCAAUAGGUAGUGGGUCAUCAAGAACAUUCUCUAACCUAGACAAGUUGUCUACAACGGGGUUCUCAGCUCCCUUUCUAUCAAUAAUAUGCAAAUCAAAUUCUUGUAGCAAGAGAACCCAUCUAAUAAGUCUAGGUUUAGCAUCUUUCUUUUCCAUAAGAUAUCUAAUAGCAGCAUGAUCAGUGUGAACAGUUACUUUAGAAUCAACUAUAUAAGGUCUGUACUUAUCACAAGCAAAUACAACUGCUAAAAAUUCUUUUUCAGUAGUAGCAUAGUUUCUCUGGGCACUGUCUAUAGUUUUACUAGCAUAUUGGAUAACAUUUAAUUUCUUAUCAACUCUUUAUCCUAGAACAGCCCCUACAGCAUAAUCACUAGCGUCACACAUGAUUUCAAAUGGUAACUUCCAAUCAGGAGGCUGAACAAUAGGUGCAGAAAUCAAAGCUUUCUUAAGUAUUUCAAAUGCUUCUACACAAUCAUCAUCAAAAACAAAAGGAACAUCUUUUUGUAAGAGAUUAGUCAGGGGCCUAGAAAUUUUAGAGAAGUCCUUAAUGAACCUCCUAUAAAAACCGGCGUGACCAAGGAAACUUCUUAUACCUUUGAUGUCUUUAGGGCACGACAUCUUUUCAAUAGCAUCAAACCUUAGCUUUAUCAACUUCAAUACCUCUUUCAGAAAUUUUAUGCCCCGAGACAAUACCUUCAUUAACCAUAAAGUGGCACUUCUCCCAAUUCAAGACAAGAUUAGUUUCUUCACAUCUCUGCAAAACUCGAUCAAGGUUGCUUAAGCACUCAUCAAAAGAAGUUCCGUAAACGGAGAAAUCAUCCAUCAAAACCUCAACAAUCUUUUCACAGAAGUUAGAGAAUAUAGUAGUCAUACAUCUUUGAAAAGUAGCAGGUGCAUUGCAUAAACCAAAGGGCAUACAUCUAUAAGCAAAGGUACCGAAAGGGCAAGUAAAAGUUGUCUUUUCUUGAUUCUCUUUUGACACAGGUAUUUGAGAGAAACUAGAAUAACCAUCUAGAAAGCAAAAAUGUGUAUGUUUGGAUAAUCUUUCUAGCAUCUGAUCAAUAAAAGGUAAAGGGUAAUGAUCCUUUUUAGUAGCUUACUUUAAUUUGCGGAAAUCAAUUACCAUUCUAUAACAUGUAACAAUUCAUUGUGGGAUCAAUUCAUCUUUAUCAUUAGGAACAACAGUAAUACCUCCCUUGUUAGGGACACAAUGGACAGGACUUACCCACUAGCUAUCAGCAACGGGGUAAAUUAUACCUUCCUCCAGAAGCUUUAGUAUUUCUUUUCUUACCACUUCUUUCAUCUUAGGAUUUAACCGCCGUCGGUGAUCAACAACCGGUUUCGCGUCUUUCUCCAAUUUUAUGUUGUGUUGGCAUAGAGUGGGACUAAUGCCCUUAAGAUCAUCAAGAGUAUAUCCAAUAGUAGCACGGUGCUUCUUCAGAGUUUUCAAUAAUUUCUUUUCUUCAUGCUCUGAAAGGUUAGCACUAAUAAUAACAGGAUAUAUCUCUUUUUCAUCAAGAUAAGCAUAUUUAAGAGUAUCAGGUAAAGGUUUAAGCUCAAACACAGGAUCACCCUUAGGUGGAGGAGGAUCCCCUAGGAUUUCAACAGGCAAGUUGUGUUUCAAAAUAGGUCCCUGUUUCAAGAAUACUUCAUCUAUUUCCCUUCUUUCAUUCAUAAACAUACCAUUUUCAUGGUUGAGCAAAUAUUGUUCUAAAUGAUCAUUAGGAGGCACGACAAUAGAAGCAAGACCAAUAAUUUCAUCUUUACUAGGCAAUUCUUUAUCACGGGGUUGUCUACGAAAUUUAGAAAAAUUAAAUUCAUGAGACAUAUCCCCUAAAACAACAGAAACAAUAUCCUUAUUACAGUCUAUCUUAGCAUUAACAGUAUUCAAGAAGGGUCUACCAAAUAUAAUGGGACAAAAGUUAUCUUGUCAGGAACCAAGAACAAGAAAAUCAGCAGGAUAUUUAACUUUCCCACACAAGACUUCAACAUCUCUAACAAACCCAACUGGUGAAAUAGUAUCUCUAUUAGCAAGUUUAAUAGUAACAUCAAUUUCCUCUAUCUCAGUAGGUGUAAUGUGAUGCAUAAUUUCUUUAUAUAAGGAAUGGGUUAUUGCACUUGCACUAGCACCCAUAUCACAUAAGCCAUGAUAGCAAUGAUCUCCUAUUUUAAUAGAAAUAACAGGCAUGCCUACAACAGGUCUAUGUUUAUUUUUAGUAUCGGGUCUAGCAAUUCUAGUAGAUUCAUCACAGAAGUAAAUAACAUGCCCAUCAAUAUUAUCAGCCAAAGAGAUCUUUAACCAUAGCAAUACUAGGUUCAACUUUAAUUUUCUCAGAAGGUGUAGGUGUUCUAGUGUUACUCUUACGAACCACGGUUGAAGCUUUAGCAUGAUCCUUUAUUCUAACAGGGAAAGGUGGUUUCUCAAUAUAAGUAGUGGGAACAACAGGAUCAUUAUAAGUGAUAGUCUUUUCUUCAACUUUAAUAGGUUCAACUACUUUUACUUCAAUGUGAGGAUUAUAUUUAAACCACUUCUCCUUAGGGAGAUCAACAUGAGUAGCAAAGGAUUCAUGGAAAGAAGCUACUAUCUCAGAGUCAAGUCCAUAUUUAGUGUUAAAUUCACGGAAAGCAUCGGUAUCCAUAAAAGAUUUAACACAAUCAAACUUAGGUGUUAUACCUGACUCCUUACCUUCAUCGAUAUCCUAAUCUUUAGAGUUGCAUUUAAUUCUCUCCAAUAAAUCCCAUUUGAAUUCAAUAGUCUUCAUCAUAAGAGAACCAGUACAAGAAAUAUCGAGCAUGGAGCGAUUACUAAGAGAAAGCCGAGCAUAAAAAUUUUGAAUAAGCAUUUCUCUUGAGAGCUCAUGAUUGGGGCAUGAAUAUAACAUUGACUUAAGCCUCCCCCAAGCUUGAGCGAUGCUUUCUCCUUCGUGAGGCCAAAAAUUAUAUAUAUAAUUACGAUCACGAUGAACCAGAUGCAUAGGAUAAAACUUCUGAUGAAAUUCCAAUUUUAAUCGUUGGUAGUUCCAUGAUCCAAUAUUAUCACAUAGCCUAAACCAUGUCAAUGCCUCUCCCUUCAAAGAUAACGGGAAGACCUUCUUCUUGAUAACAUCCCCGGGCAUACAUGCAAGCUUAAAUAAUCCACAAACUUCAUCCACAUAGAUUAAGUCCAAAUCGGGAUGUAAUGUUUUGUCUCCUGUAAAAGGAUUAGCUAGCAGUUUCUCUAUCAUACCCGAAGGAAUUUCAAAGUAAACAUUUUCAGUAGGUUCAGUAGGUUGAGGAUCAACUCUUCACUCUACUGGUCGGGGUGAAUAUACCCCGAACAAGCCCCUCAAAGGAAUAUGUUCCAUAGUAACAAGUGACAGUAAAUUUCAGCACACUAUAUAAAUUUUUCCUUACCAAAUUCCACCUACCAAAGGCGCUUCACUCCCCGGCAACGGCGCUAGAAAAGAGUCUUGAUGACCCACAAGUGUAGGGGAUCUAUCGUAGCCUUUUCGAUAAGUAAGAGUGUCGAACCCAACGAGGAGCAGAAGGAAAUGAUAAGCGGUUUUCAGCAAGGUAUUCUCUGCAAGCACUGAAAUUGUCGGUAACAGAUAGUUUUGUGAUAAGGUAAUUUGUAGCGAGUAAUAAGUAAUGCAAGUAAAUAAGGUGCAGCAAGAUGUCCUAAUCCUUUUUGUAGCAAAGGACAAGACUGGACAAACUCUUAUAUAAAGGAAAGCGCUCCCGAGGACCCAUGGGAAUUAUCGUCAAGCUAGUUUUCAUCACGUUCAUAUGAUUCGCAUUCGGUACUUUGAUAAUUUGAUAUGUGGGUGGACCAUUGCUUGGGUACUGCCCUUACUUGGACAAGCAUCCCACUUAUGAUUAACCCCUAUUGCAAGCAUCCGCAACUACAACAGAAGUAUUAAGGUAAACCUAACCAUAGCAUGAAACAUAUGGAUCCAAAUCAGCCCCAUUACAAAGCAACGCAUAAACUAGGGUUUAAGCUUCUAUCACUCUAGCAACCCAUCAUCUACUUAUUACUUCCCAAUGCCUCCCUCUAGGCCCAAACAAUCGUGAAGUGUCAUGUAGUCGAUGUUCACAUGACACCACUAGAGGAGAGACAACAUACAUCUCAUCAAAAUAUCAAACGAAUACCAAAUUCACAUGACUACUUAUAGCAAGACUUCUCCCAUGUCCUCAAGAACAAAUGUAACUACUCACAAAUCAUAUUCAUGUUCAUAAUCAGAGGUGUAUUAAUGUGCAUAAUGGAUCUAAACAUAUGAUCUUCCACCAAAUAAACCAACUAGCAUCAACUACAAGGAGUAAUCAACACUACUAGCAACCCACAGGUGCCAAUCUGAGGCUUUGAUACAUAGAUUGGAUACAAGAGAAGAACUAGGGUUUGAGAUGAGAUGGUGUUGGUGAAGAUGUUGAUGUAGAUUGACCCCCUCCCAAUGAGAGGAUCGUUGGUGAUGAAGAUGGUGAUGAUUUCCCCCUCCCGGAGGAAAGAUUCCCCGACAGAACAGCUCCGCCGGAGCCCUAGAUUAGUUCCGCCAAGGUUCCGCCUCGUGGUGGCGGAGUUUCGUCCCGUGAUCUAGCUUAUGAUUUUGUUCUCUCGAUGAAAGACUCCAUAUAGCCAAAGAUGGGCAUCAGAGGUCCACCAGGGGGCCCACGAGGCAGGGGGCGUGCCCGGGGGGUAGGGCGUGCCCCCACCCUCAUGGACGAUGGGUGGCCCCCCUCUAGUACUUCUUUCGCCCAAUAUUUUUUAUAUAUUCUGAAACGUGCUCCCAUGAAGUUUCAGGACUUUUGGAGUUGUGCAGAAUAGGUCUCUAAUAUUUGUUCCUUUUCCAGCCCAGAAUUCCAGCUGCCGGCACUCUCCCUCUUCAUGUAAACCUUAUAAAAUGAGAGAGAAUAGGCAUAAGUAUUGUGAUAUAAUGUGUAAUAACAGCCCAUAAUGCAAUAAAUAUUGAUAUAGAAGCAUGAUGCAAAAUGGAUGUAUCAACCCCCAGCAUGCUGGCAACGGCCGCUCCCCGCUGCCGAACGGUGCCCAUCCAGCUGGGCUCGCCUGCAGCCGACGUACCGCAUACAGCGCGAUCGAUCUCGCGCUGGUAGGCCUCAGUGAGGCGUCUCCUGGCAGCCAACUUUUUGGCGCUCUUGACGAGUGUGAUGCGGCAGGCCUCCAGCGUCUUGCCGUUAGCGUGUGCCGUGAUGGGCGCAGACAGGUCCCGCAUUGCUGCCUGCAGCAGGUCCUGGCCGACUCCAUCAGAAGCUCCAUCAUGACUGAUGACCAACACCUUCGUGAUAGUGCUGCCACUGGCGUCGCUAAUCGCAGGAGGGAGUGGGUCGUCGAUGAUCACCACGUUGGCGGGGAAGGAAUCGGGGGAUGCCACAUCGAAGUCGACGAGCAUCGGGUCUGUAGAGCCAACAGACUCUUUAUCGAAGGCAGGCUCGUUGGCGAUGUCGAUCUUGCCAAGGAGCUCGACAAGGCAGUUUUCAGAGCGGGCUGCUCCCUUGUCAGGUGUCGGCUCAUCAAAGAGACGGAUCUCGCCGACAAGGUCAGCAAGGGCGCUCGCGGAGCAAGCGGCUUCUGCACCGCGCAGCGUGUCGACGCAGACGCCAUCCGGCGUACCGGGCUGGCUGCAUUCGGUGGGGAGGAAGAGGGUUCUCGUCCAGAACGUGUUUCGGGAUGACGGUGCACCUGGCCCCACGGUGGGCGCCAAAUGUUGGGGUUGUGAUGCGACAUAUGCCAAGGGGUGUGAGGGAGUCCUGGAUUAGGGUGUGUUCGGGUAGCCGGACUAUACCUUCAGCCGGACUCUUGGACUAUGAAGAUACAAGAUUGAAGACUUCGUCCCGUGUCCGGAUGGGACUUUCCUUGGCGUGGAAGGCAAGCUGGGCGAUGCGGAUAUUCAAGAUCUCCUACCAUUGUAACCGACUCCAUGUAACCCUAACCCUAUCCGUGUCUAUAUAAACCGAAGGGUUGUAGUCCGUAGGUAAUCAACUCCAUACACAACAAUCAUACCAUAGGCUAGCUUCUAGGGUUUAGCCUCCUUGAUCUCGUGGUAGAUCUACUCUUGUACUACCCAUAUCAUCAAUAUUAAUCAAGCAGGAGUAGGGUAUUACCUCCAUCGAGAGGGCCCGAACCUGGGUAAAACAAAGUGUUCCCUGCCUCCUGUUACCAUCCGGCCUAGACGCACAGUUCGGGACCCCCUACCCGAGAUCCGCCGGUUUUGACACCGACAUUGGUGCUUUCAUUGAGAGUUCCUCUGUGUCGUCGCCUUUAGGCCCGAUGGCUCCUUUGAUCAUCAACAACGAUAUGGUCCAGGGUGAGACUUUUCUCCCCGGACAGAUCUUCGUCUUCGGCGGCUUCGCUCUGCAGGCCAGUUCGCUCGGCCACCUGGAGCAGAUCGAAAGCUACGCCCCUGGCCAUCAAGUCAGGUUUGGAAGCUUAAACUACACGGCUGACACCUGCGGAGACUUGAUCUUCGACGGAUUCGAGCCACAGCCAAGCGUGCCGCACUAUCUCGAGGGGCAUGAUCUAGCUGUGCCCCCGGACAUUGUCCUGGAGGCCGGACACGCAUCGGUUCCGACCCCUAACUCGGAGCCUAUUGCGCCAAUCGAGGAUGAACGGUUGGACGUCACCUCAGGGGCUGCGAUCCCAAAAGCUAUCGAGCCGAACGCUAGCCCCGCACUCUGCACGGCCUGUGACUCCGAAGAUCCGAACUCCUUCCCGGACUCCGAACCCCCCGCGCCCCUGCCAAUCGAAUCCGAUUUGGCGCCGAUAAUGGAGUUCACCACCGCAGACAUCUUUCAGCAUUCGCCUUUUGGCGACAUCCUGGAUUCUCUUAAGUCUCUCUCUUUAUCAGGAGAGCCCUGGCCGGACUACGGUCAGCGAGGGUGGAAUACGGAUAAUGAGGAAAUUCAAAGCCCACCCACCACCCACUUUGUAGCCACUGUCGACGAUCUAACCGACAUGCUUGACUUCAGCUCUGAAGACAUCCACGGCAUGGACGAUGAUGUAGGAGACGAACAGGAACUAGCACCUGUAGGGCGCUGGAAGGCCACCUCGUCAUAUGACAUAUAUAUGGUGGAUACUCCAAAAGAUGGAGAUGGCGAUGGAACAUUGGGGGAUGACGUCCCCAAGAAACAGAAAAAGCGCCGGCAUCAGCGGCACCGCUCUAAAUCCCGCCAAAGCAAAAAUGGUGAUUCCGGCACGGGAGAUAAUACUACCCCGGACAGUGUCGAAGAACACCCACCUCAGCAAGAUUCGGCACAGGAAGAUGGAGAAGCCAGCCCUCAUGAGAGAGCGGCAGACCGAGAGGUCGAGGAUGAUAACUAUACGCCUCCCUCCGAAGACGAGGCAAGCCUCGAUGAUGACGAAUUCAUCAUACCAUCAGACCCCGCCGAACAAGAGCAUUUUAAACGCAGGCUUUUAGCCACGGCAAGCAGCCUCAAGAAAAAGCAGCAACAGCUUAGAGCUGCCCAAGAUUUGCUAGCCGACAGAUGGACUGAAGUCCUUGCGGCCAAAGAGUAUGAACUCGAACGCCCCUCCAAGAGUUAUCUGAAGCGCAGGCCGCUACCCCGAUCAGAGGAGGAAGCACCUACAUCACCAGCGCAUGACAUGGCAGACCGGCCACCUCGCGGCCGCGACAGAGAGGCCUCUCGGCCCUCCACCCAAGCCAUGCCCCGACGCCGCUCAACUAAGGCACGGGAAAAUGCGCCCGGCCUGCGAGACAUACUGGAGGAUAAGGCAAGACAAACAAGAUCGAUCUACGGAUCGCGCAGGCGCCCUACAGCAUGUGAUAAUAAUCUUCACGCCGGAUACAACAAAUCCGGCUGGGCCGAACACAACAGACAUAGCUCUUCCGAGCUGCGUCGUGAUAUAGCCUAGUACAGAGGCGCCGCACACCCGCUAUGCUUCACGAAUGAAGUAAUGGAUCAUAAAAUCCCAGAGGGUUUCAAACCCAUAAACAUUGAAUCAUACGAUGGCACAACAGACCUGACGGUAUGGAUCGAGGAUUAUCUCCUUCACAUCCACAUGGCACGCGGCGAUGAUCUACACGCCAUCAAAUACCUCCCGCUCAAACUUAAAGGACCGGCCCGGCAUUGGCUUAACAGCUUGCCAGCAGACUCAAUCGGUUCUUGGGAGGACCUGGAAGCCGCAUUCCUCGACAACUUCCAGGGCACUUACGUGUGACCGCCGGAUGCCGACGACUUAAGCCACAUAAUUCAGCAGCCAGAAGAAUCGGCCAGAAAAUUCUGGACAUGGUUCCUAACAAAGAAAAACCAGAUAGUCGACUGUCCGGACGCAGAGGCCCUAGCAGCCUUCAAGCAUAACAUCCGCGACGAGUGGCUUGCCCGGCACCUGGGACAGGAAAAAGCCGAAAUCCAUGGCAGCCCUCACGACACUCAUGACCCGCUUUUGCGUGGGAGAAGACAGUUGGCUAGCUCACAGUAACAACUUAUCAAAGAACCCUGGUAAUUCGGAUACCAAGGAAAAAAGUGGCAGGACACGUCGGAAUAAGCAAAAACGCCGCGUUAACAGCGACAGCAAUGAAGACAUGAUAGUCAAUGCCGGAUUCAAAGGCUAUAAAUCCGGUCAGCGGAAAAAGGCAUUCAAAAAGAAUACUCAGGGCCCGUCCAGUUUGGACCGAAUACUCGAUCGCUUGUGCCAGAUACAUGGCACCCCCGAAAGGCCAGCCAAUCACACUAACAGGGAUUGUUGGGUGUUCAAGCAGGCAGGCAAGUUAAGGGCCGAAAACAGAGACAAGGGGCUGCAUAGCGAUGACGAGGAGCCCAAGCCGCCAAACAACAAUGGACAGAAGGGCUUUCCCCCACAAGUGCGGACGGUGAACAUUCCCAAGCGGGAGCGGAAGCGUGCGCUACGGGACGUAUACGCGAUAGAGCCAGUCGCCCCAAAGUUCAACCCAUGGUCCUCCUGCCCGAUCACUUUUGAUCGAAGGGACCAUCCCACUAGCAUCCGUCAUAGCGGCUUCUCCGCAUUGGUUCUCGACCCAAUCAUCGACGGAUUUCAUCUCACAAGAGUCCUCAUGGACGGCGGCAGUAGCCUGAACUUGCUUUAUCAGGAUACAGUGCGGAAAAUGGGCAUAGAUCCCUCAAGGAUUAAGCCCACAAGAACGACCUUUAAAGGCGUUAUACCAGGUGUAGAAGCCAACUGUACAGGCUCAGUAACACUUGACGUGGUCUUUGGAUCCCCGGACAAUUUCCGAAGCGAAGAGUUAAUCUUCGAUAUAGUCCCGUUUCCCAGUGGCUAUCACGCCCUGCUCGGACAAACCGCAUUCGCAAAGUUCAAUGCGGUGCCGCACUACGCAUAUCUCAAGCUCAAGAUGCCAGGCCCUCGAGGAGUAAUUACGGUCAACGGAAACACUGAACGCUCCCUCCGUACGGAGGAGCAUACGGCGACUCUCGCAGCGGAGGUACAAAGUAGCCUUCUCAGGCAAUUCUCCAGUCCGGCCAUUAAAAAGUCAGACACUGCCAAGCGCGCCCGGAGUAACCCACAGCAGAACAGCCUGGCACACCCAGAGCAAGCGUAGCAAUGCGGCCCCAACCCCAGCUUUCGCCACAUAGCGAAACCAGUACCUCGCGUACAUAACUACGCCCUUGAAAUACCAUGGGCACAGGGGAAGGGGCACAAUAACGGCACGCCCAAAAUACGGCUUAAAACGUACUAGGGGCUGCCGGAUUCUUUUCUUAAUUUUUUCUUACUUUCAGGACUCCAUACUUCGGACGGCCUGUUCGGCAAUUCGACUACCGCACAAACGAUGCAAGAUCCAGGGAGGCAGACAAGCCAUGCCGCAUUAUGGAACUCCCAGGUGGUCUCUGUUACGAGCAGUAUACCUGUUUUAAAUAUAAUUUUGCGGCCUGCCCCUGGUCAGGACAUACUGAAUAGUCCAAAUAUCUUUUUGCUUAUCACACUCCUUGUAUCGUUCGGCUUUGAUAAAUAGCCUCUCUAUAAACAAUGCAUAGCUUUUGUCUAUUUUCUGCAUUACUCUCUUUUAUAUAUGUUCAUCAAUGACAUGUUGCGCCCGUACACUGUGGUACGGCAAGUACGCCAGGGGCUUCAGUACCCUUUAAUAUGGUGUGAGAAGUCCGUACACUUUCACAAGUGCGGCACCCCGAACUUAUAGCAUUAUAUGCAUCGGCUCCGAAUCAUGAUUUGGGUCAAUAGUUGGGUUUGCCCGGCUCCUAUGUUUUGGUGCCUUACGUUCCGCUAUAUCGGCUAAGGUAGCACUAGGAGAACCACUGCGAUUGUGCCCCGGUUGAGCUGGGUUAAGCACCUCAGUGGAGAAAGCUAAAACUGACUGUCAUGAUGAGGCGAGAGACUGGUUGCUGUUCGAGAGGUUUUUCGAGUCCCUAAAGACUUAUGCCGCUUCGAGCGAGGAGCCGGAUUUUGUCCGGCCAAGGCGUGGAUAGCGCCCCGAACUCGGUCUUCCGAACUAGGGGCUUCGCCGAAAUUUAAAAUUAUAAAGUUCUAUGGCUAAGUGAGAGUGUUCAAGCAUUAUAGUCCGAUUUCCUGGUUCUUUGUGCUGAGCGCCUCCCUCGAAGGACCCAACUAUGGGAAAAAGAGCGCUCGGGUUUAUCCUGAACACCCCAGCACUAGUGGCAUGGGGGCAGAAGCCGACGACUGGCCAUCUCUCAAUUUUUUGAUAAACAGCCGCACAGAAAAUAAUAUUUUAAAUUCAACAAGCAUUUCUUAAAGCGCCUAUGAACAAGUUUUCAGCGCACAGGAUAAAAACGAGCGAGUUUAUUCAAAAAUUACAUCCUUGGUACAUUCAUUCGCCACAAGGCGGACACCUGCAAGAACAUCCUUGUAAUAGUUCUCGGGCUUGCGAUGCUGCUUCCCCGGCGGCGGCCCGUCCCUCACAAGCUUCUCACCGUCCAGCUUACCCCAGUGCACCUUCGCACGGGCAAGGGCCCUAUGGGCUCCUUCGAUGCAGACGGACCGCUUGAUGACCUCGAGCCUUGGACAGGCCUCCACCAGCCGCCGCACCAGCCCGAAGUAGCUCCCAGGCAGGGCCUCUCCGGGCCACAACCGAACUAUGAAGCCCUUCAUGGCCUGUUCGGCCGCCUUGUGGAGCUCGACCAGCUGUUUCAGCUGGUCGCUCAAGGGCACAGGGUGUCCGGCCUCAGCAUACUGAGACCAGAACACCUUCUCUGUCGAGCUGCCCUCUUCAGCUCGGUAGAAUGCGGCGGCAUCGGAUACCCUGCGGGGAAGAUCUGCAAAUGCCCCUGGAGAGCUCCGGAUUCGGGUAAGUAACAAGUAGUUUACUUUUAUAUUUCUGCUUUGCAUAAAGAAUGCCUUACCCGCUGCUAUCUUUUUCACCUCCUCCAACUCUUGGAGGACCUUUUGGGCUUCGGCCUUAGCAGACUUGGCAGUCUCAAGGGCCGCCGCGAGCUCGGACGCUUGGGUCUUUGACUCAAGCUCCAAACUCUCAUGUUUCUUCAUGAGAGCCUGAAGCUCUUGCUGCACCUCGCCGACCUGAGCCCCAAGUUUCUCUCGCUCGGUGCGCUCCGCGGCCGUUUUCUUUUCGGCCUCGGACAGCGCCUGCUUGAGGGUCGCCACCUCAGUCGUGGCCCCUAUAAUAAGCAGUGUAAUCCUGUUAUUUUUUGCAAUCACGCCUCUCUAUAGGCACUUUUUCUGUAAGGUAUUUCCUACCUUCUUUUUCCUCGAGCUGCCGCUUGGCAAGGCCGAGCUCUCGCUCGGUCCGCUCGAGUCCCUGUUUUAGGGCACCCACCUCCGCAGUCAGUGCGGCGGUGGCUAGCAGUGAAGCCUGCAUACGCAUAUUAACUCUUUUUGUUAGACUCCUGCGAAAUUUACUAGAUCCUCUAUUCGGCUUUUCUUUCUAAACGCCAAACAGAGCAUCAGGGGCUACGGUCUAUGCGGUACUAUUUUUUGUAUAUUUUUACUUACCUCGAAGCCUGUUAGAAGGCUAGCGCAAGCUUCAGUCAGUCCGCUCUUGGCGGACUGAACCUUCUGGAUCACCGUACUCAUAAUAGUACGGUGCUCCUCUUGAUGGAGGUGCCAUCAAGCACCUCAAGCAGAUUGUCCGGCCCCUCCGGUUGGACGGAGGCCGCCGGCUCAGAAGGCUUGCUCCUCUUGGAAGGAGUUCGCCUACCGCGGUCCGGAACUGUUAAAGAUUCCGGUGCGGUGUCCGGCAUAAAGCCGGACUUGGAGCCAUGGGGGGUCUUCUCCCCUUUACUCCUGGGGUCCGGGAGGUCGCCUUGCGGCUCCUCCAGGACCACCUCCUCCUGCCCCGGAGCUCGUUGCGACGCCACUUCGGCGCCAUCUGCGGUGCGGGGGGAGACAGCGGGCGGAACUGAGUUCAUGUCCGAUGAAUCCAGGGAGCCGCUCGAUGACUCGUUGAGUUCGGACUGGGGUAGACUGCAUAAUUACAUUCGACAUUAGGGAAAGCUGUGCAACAAAGGAACAUCAUGAGUUAUUCUGAUAUCCGAACUUAUGAUUUCGCCGGAUGCUUGGCCCUGUCUGGCCACUCCUCUUUGCCCUCUUCAGCGUUGGGGGCGUAGUCCGGCGGAGGGGUCUUCCUUUUCCUAGACCCCUCGGCCUCCCCUGUUGGGGCGGCCUUCCUCUUCUCUCCUCCCUCCGCUGGGGGGGAGUUUUCUUCUUCCUCCUCCUCGUUAGCAUGGGAGGAUGGCGUCUCGGACUCGUCAGAUGACGACACCACCACAUUACGGGCACUCUUUCGAGUCCCCGUGGCCUUCUUCUUCUUGGCCUUCUUUCCGGCACCACAUACGGCGCCGGAACCAGCAGCUUUGCUAGUAGAGCUGGGGCUGGGUCUUCGGGCAGCGAAGCCAGACAGUUAAUCGGUCCGGAUAUCGCCCGCCAAGCCUGUCAAAGGUAAGGGAGUUUAGAUCCCGCAUAGAGUCAAACUAUGAAAAAACUUAACAUCCUGUAAAAGGUGAAAAUAGCUUACCUCGCUAGCGUGACGCUGCGAGCUGUAUCCGCGGUCCUCAGAAGCGGAUGUGGGAGCCUCGGCGCCUUUGGUUAGCACCUUCCAGACGUCUUCAUACAUCGUGUCGAAGAGCCUGUUAAGGGUUUGGUGUUGCGCCGGGACGAACUCCCACAGAUUAAAAUACCGUUGUUGGCACGGGAGGAUCCGGCAGACGAGCAUAACCUGGAUUACAUUAACAAGCCAGAUUGGCUUGUUCACCAGGGACUGGAUGCAUGUUUGCAAUCCGGUCACCUCUUUUUUGUCACCCCAUGAUAAGCCCGUCUCUUUCCAGGACAUAAGCCGCGUGGGGGGUCCGGAUCGGAACUCGGGGGCUACGAUCCAUUUAGGAUGUUGGCCAUCUUGCCCGCCAUGGCGCCUUCGCACUCCGCCGGGCUGCCGCACACCACCUUGGGCUUGACGUUGAAGGUAUUGAGCCAGAGGCCGAAAUGAGGGCGGACGCGGAGGAAAGCCUCGCACACGACGAUAAACGCCGAGAUGUUGAGGAUGAAGUUCAGGGCCAGAUCGUGGAAAUCCAGGCCGUAGUAGAACAUGAGCCCCCGGACAAAUGGGUGGAGUGGAAAACCCAGUCCGCGGAGGAAGUGGGGAAGGAAUACUACCCUCUCAUGGGGCCUUGGGGUGGGGAGAAGUUGCCCCUCCUCGGGAAGCCGGUGCGCGAUGUCUUUGGACAAGUAUCCGGCCUUCCUUAGCUUUUUGACAUGGCCCUCCGUGACGGAGAAGACCAUCCACUUGCCUCCCGCUCCGGACAUUGCUGGAGAAGGUUGAGGUAGGAAGUGCGGGCUUGGGCGCUGGAGCUCGAGUGCGCAGGAGAUGGACAGGCAAAGGAGGAAGAAGGCGUGGGUAAAAAGGUGGAUCCUUAUCCCCUUAUAUGGGCGGAUGCGGUUGUGCGUCCCCACCAGCCUAGUAAAACUCGCUUGCCUCCCAAGCGCCGUGAUAAAUGGCACGGUUAGGGUUACCCACGUCCGUAUUGAUGAGAAUCCCAUAAAGGGGGUACACGAUCUCUGCUUUGACAAGAUGUGCCAAGGAAACCGCCUCGCAAAACAUGCUGAGGUGGAAAAGUAAAAAUGAUUCGAGUAAAGGACUUGGCUGUAGUGUGAUGACACACUACGGAAUACGUCAGCAGAUUUGAUUUGUGUUAAUAUUAUUCUCUCUAUGGCAAUAUGUGGAAGCUUAUUUUGCAGAGCCAGACACUACUCUUGGUGUUUACAAUCUUCUACGAAGGACUUGGAGGAGGAACAUGCCUUGCAAUGCCGAAGACAAUUUGCGUGCCGGACUCGUCGUCAUUGAAGCCUGAUUCAGGGGCUACUGAGGGAGUCCUGGAUUAGGGGGUGUUCGGGUAGCCGGACUAUACCUUCAGCCGGACUCCUGGACUAUGAAGAUACAAGAUUGAAGACUUCGUCCCGUGUCCGGAUGGGACUUCUUGGCGUGGAAGGCAAGCUUGGCGAUGCGGAUAUUCAAGAUCUCCUACCAUUGUAACCGACUCCAUGUAACCCUAACCCUAUCCGGUGUCUAUAUAAACCGGAGGGUUGUAGUCCGUAGGCAAUCAACUCCAUACACAACAAUCAUACCAUAGGCUAGCUUCUAGGGUUUAGCCUCCUUGAUCUCGUGGUAGAUCUACUCUUGUACUACCCAUAUCAUCAAUAUUAAUCAAGCAGAAGUAGGGUAUUACCUCCAUCGAGAGGGCCCGAACCUGGGUAAAACAAAGUGUUCCCUGCCUCCUGUUACCAUCCGGCCUAGACGCACAGUUCGGGAACCCCUACCCGAGAUCCGCCAGUUUUGACACCGACGGGGUGGCUUAUCAUGGAAAGGGCCAAGAGAAUGUCGCCGGGCUCUAGAGGCGGAAGUGAGCGAGAACGUCGUCGGGCUCUAGAGGCGGGAGUGAGCGAGAACGCCUAAGCCGGCGAAUCUUACCGAUGUUUGGGGCUCUCCUAGGAAAUAACACCCCUAGUCCUGCUCUGCGGGGUCUCUGCAUGAUCACUAUCUCGACAAGGUAACUACAAGGUCUCUCCUUGAGCUAUUUGUCUAGAGGAGGAAGAUGAGCAAGGCUAGCCUCUCUUCCCCUCUUUAUAUGUGUGUGUAAAUCUACUAAGGUUCUGAACCCUUUGCAUGGGUGUCCUNNNNNNNNNNNNNNNNNNNNNNNNNNNNNNNNNNNNNNNNNNNNNNNNNNNNNNNNNNNNNNNNNNNNNNNNNNNNNNNNNNNNNNNNNNNNNNNNNNNNNNNNNNNNNNNNNNNNNNNNNNNNNNNNNNNNNNNNNNNNNNNNNNNNNNNNNNNNNNNNNNNNNNNNNNNNNNNNNNNNNNNNNNNNNNNNNNNNNNNNNNNNNNNNNNNNNNNNNNNNNNNNNNNNNNNNNNNNNNNNNNNNNNNNNNNNNNNNNNNNNNNUAAUCCGACCGGGUGUGGGACCCGGCCGUCAGUGUCUCUGGUCACCGGCUUCUCCGCCGGCUGCUAGGGCCCGCCGCCUGGUGGGCCCCGUCGACUAUCUCAUACUUGGCCGACAGGUCGCGCCCGCCGCUUGAGGGUCCUGGCCGGCUACUUAGCACUGUAGUCAUGCCACUGAUGAUGCAUGCUUUGUCGGGGGAGCGUGGCUACAGUCCCGCCGCUUGGCGGGCAUUCACUGUAGCCACAUCCCGUCUUAUCUGGUUAAUGGCGCACAAACUCCAAGCGAGAGGGACGAACGUCUGAUAGGAGUCGGCCUCCCUCGUGUCGACUGCUCAGGUCCCACCGCCUUCAGGCAUCUCACGGACAGGUAGGGCCCGCCGACCGGUAGCCCGUCGUGGUAGCAUGGCUUCCUCUGCCAUGAUGAUGUCAUGAGCGUCGUGGCAACAGUGCCGCGCCGGGCGAGGGAUGCCCGCCUGUUAUGCUGCAUUGUGGCCAUGCUCAGCCCUGGACUCGGGGGUGGCAUGUUGUAUUGUAGCCACGCCCCGUCUCGUCGCUGUAAUGAGGUGCUAACUUUGAGGGAGUGAGGGGCCGCCUGCUGGAAGUUGGCCCUCCUCGUUGCCGCCUUCUGGGCUCCGCCGCCUUCCUGUAGCCGCCCGCUAGGACCAGCCGGCCCCAAGAAGGCGGUCCUUUGUCUUUGAUGCUUGAGGGGCGCAGCCGGCCCCGAUGUCUCGAAAUACCAUGGGGGGCUGAUGAGGCUACCCGUGGUCAUUUACUCCGACAGCGGCGGAGGGCUGCCAGGCUGGCCCAUUUUGUUGCCUCCUAUUGUGUCAUUCGAUGUGUGGAAACGCAUGAUGAUCUUUAGAAAGAUCUCAUCGAGGAGUGGUAGGCAUGGAAUGGCCGAGAAAGAGCAUUAUGAUUUGUGUGUUUGAUGUUGUAUUGUUGAACUAUUUGUUCUAUUGCAAGAUAAACUAUUUGUUUGAGUUGUACUAAUAAGAUUAAGCUAUUUAUUAUUGAUUUGUUUUGUUUGUGUUUGAUCUUCUUGGUUGUGUUUGGAGUGCAUACGUUGUUUGUGCGAGAGCGCGCGUGCAAUUUUUUUCCAGCGGCUCGUGCACGCUAAACUUUGCAGCGGCCGCUGGAGCAAGCGCUCCGCGCCGCGCAAAAACUCGCGAACAGCGUGCUCCAAACGCUUGCUAUUGGAGAUGCUCUAAACCGAUUCGUGGUAGAGUUCCGUUGUUUUUUAUUACAAUUAGCUGGAACACAAUUUAGCAAAUCAAACUUUGUUUAAUUUUAUUUUGGUUUGUUAGGACACAACCGAACUGGCCGAUUUUAAUUAACUUACUUGAGUACUUUUUUAUGCAUUCAUUUUAUCGAGAAUGAGGCAUGCAUCAGAUGCAGGUGAGAUGGAUGUAGGUGAGACGGUGGUGAUGCUCGUCAUAAUUACAAGUAACUAGAUAAUACCCCGCGUGUUGCUGCGGAAAUUUAUAGUAAUAAAUUAUCAAGAACAAAAUUAGAAACAUAUGAGAAUAAUACUCCCCCAACACACAAACACAUUUUCAUCCUAUGAAUGGUAGCAAACGUAGUAACAAAUGAGCAUGUAUGUACAUUACAGUAAGUAUGUAAAUGAGUGUUGCUUUUAUAGAGCUCGUCAAGGACAACUUGAGGAGAAGAUAUUUACAUUGAAGACUAUGACAAGAGAAGACAUCGCAUGAAGCCAAUGGAGCUCGAAGACUUAGAGCUUUCGUAGUUCUUUUUCUUCUUUGUUGAGUCAUAGGAACCACCGUACUGUUAAGUGGGGUCCAAGAGAACCAGUCAAAAUGACUGAAGUGAUGCUUAACCAAAACCUAUGUCUUCGAGUGAAGACUAUGAGAGCGAAUCUUGUCCAGAGUCGGACAAGUCAGCUUUGCUUGUAGCCCAAGUAAAGUUGCCGUGUGUGUUUGAAAUCUGACCGUUGGAACACGUGUCAGUUCCUUAGUGACCCAGGGUCAUUUAGGACAAAUCAGGUCGGGUUGCCUAGUGGCUAUAAAUAGCCCACCCCCUACAACCAUAAACGAUUGGCUGCUCAGAGUUAGAGUACGGCUUUUGUCGUUUGAGAGCAACCCACCUCGAAGCCUUUGAGAGAGAAUUCCUUGCGAGGAUAAAGCCCUAACCACCCAGAGCCAAAGAGUAUUAGGCAUCACUUAAGUCUUCUUGUCUGUGUGAUCUGAAGACUUAUUACACUUGAGGACUGUGAAUCCUCCAGCCGGUUAGGUGUCGCGUUCUGAGCAUCCAAGAGACAUUGUGGAUCGCCGGUGAACAAAGUCUGUGAAGGUUUGGGAGUCUACCUUGAAGACUUACCAGAGUGAUUGGGCGAGGUCUGUGUGACCUUAGCUCAAGGGGAAUACGGUGAGGACUGGGUGUCCUAAGCUGCGUGUUCAGGACUGGGUGUCCCGGGACUGUGUGUCCUCAGGUUUAAAUACCUAGCCGCCCUAACCAGACGUACAGUUGUCAUAGCAACUGGAACUGGUCCAACAAAUCAUUGUCUUCAACGAGUCACUGGUUUCAUCCUUCCCUUCCCUUUACUUACUGUUAGUCCUUGUGAAGUCAUUGUAUGAUUGCACUAUCUUCUGUCUUCACUGAGUGACUGCUUGUUCUGAUCGGCUUCAUAAUAUCUUCCUACCUGAUCCUUACUACCUAGCUGCUAUUAGUCAUUGUGCUUUCACUUCAUUGAAUACUUGACUAUGGUUUGCCUAGUGCAGUCUACCUUCUGCUGCAUGGUAAUAGGUUUAUUUCUAUCGUUUGUCUUCGAAACUUCCAUGUUUUGAAGACUUUCAUAAAAAUCGCCUAUUCACCCCCCCCCUCUAGUCGAUAUAACGCACUUUCAAUUGGUAUUAGAGCAAGGUACUCCCUUGUUCUGUGUGAUUCGGUUUAACCACCUGGAGUUUUAGUUAUGUCGACUGCAGGGAUAAUUAAAGUCUCCGCUGCAUGCCCCGUCUUCGAUGGAACUGAAUAUCCCUACUGGAAGAAUAAGAUGCGCAUGCAUCUUGAAGCCAUUGACGUCGACCUAUGGUAUGUCGUCAAGAACGGCGUUCCCAAGGCUGGGGAAGGUGUCACUGCUGCUGACGUCAAGAAGUUCGUUCAACUGGACUCUACUGCCAAGAAUAUCAUCUGUGGUCAUCUGACCAAAGGACAGUAUGGCCGCAUGAGUGCUUUGGAAACAUCUAAGCUAGUCUGGGACUAGCUCUCCAAGGUCAAUGAAGGCGUCUCAACCCAGAGAGAUCAGAGAAUCAGUGUCCUUCGCAACCUCUUCAACCGCUUCAAGAGAAAUGACAAUGAGAAUGUCCAGCUCACAUUUGAUCGACUCACUGACAUCACAAAUGAGCUUCAAGCCCUCGGAGCUACUGAGAUCACCAAGAAUGAAGUCGUCAAGACACUCCUGAGAUCACUUGGCAGUUCGUUUGACACCCUAGCCCUGAUGAUUCAAGAAUGUCCUGAUUUCAAGACACUCGAUCCGUCUGACAUACUUGAGAGGCUCAAUACACAUGAGUUUCAGCUUUCUGAGAAAAGAGAUAUCUACAGUCCCAACUAUGGGCGAACUCGUGCCUUGAAGGCAAAAGCUGUCUCCUCAUCUGAAGAAGAAUCUGACAGCAGUUCUGAUGAUCCUGAAGACAUUGGAAAGGAACUUGCUAUGCUUGUGAAGAAGUUCCAAAAAUUCACCAAGAAGAAAGGCUUCAAAAAGUCUUCACGAUCAAGCUCAAGGAAUGAUGAAGCUUCUGCUCAUGACUACAAGAAGAAAACAUGCCACAAGUGCAAGAAACCUGGCCACUACAUCUCUGAGUGUCCGUAGUGGGACAUUGAGAACAAGAAGAAAAAGAAGAGCAAGGAGUAUGAUUCUGAUGACAAGAAGAAGAAGAAAUACUCAAAGUCUUCUUCCAAGUCCUCCUCAAAGUCUUCAUCACACAAGAAGAGCUCAUCUGGCAAGGCACGUGCGUUUGUUGGCAAGGAAAUGGAUUCAGAGGAGGAGUCCGUUUCUGAGGAGGCGGAGGUGGAGUCUGAGGAGGAGUCCGAUUCUGGCAUUGCGAGUCUGGCUACAGCAUACGUUGCCAAGUCCAUCUUCAACACUGAAGACAAUGACUCCAUCACCGACACCUAUGCAAAUGACAAAGACCACUCCACUCCUACCUACUGCUUCAUGGCACGCGGUGCCAAGGUAAACACACGCACUACUCACUAUCAAACAUCUAGUGACGAUGACUCUGAUUGUGGUUCCAAACCCAGCUACAAAACACUCGCUAAAAUUGCAACUGAACAACAGAAAACAAUGGAACACAUUCAAAAACUGUUAGACAAAAGCGAUGAUCUGUUAGACGCUGAAAUGACUCAAUCUCAGUCCUUAAUUGAAGACAUAAAAAAUCUUCAUGUUAAGUAUGAGGAACUUGAAAGUCGUCAUGAAACGCUCUCAACAGCUCAUGAAAGGCUUUCCUAUGAUUAUCUUCAAAGGAAGCAAGAUCUUGAGAAAUUGAGAGCGGCUCAUGAAGAUCUUCAGAAAGAAAACGAGUCGCUUCACGCCGAACAGAUCAGUUCAGCUCAGGAAAGAUUUGAACCACCAUGUCUUAAAUGCAUUGAGCGUGAUAAUGCUACCUCUGUUGCUGAAUGUUCUACUGCUGCUACUGUUGCAAUAUCUUCAGCUGUUGAUGUGGGAACUAACCCCUCUGCUGAGGAUACCACUGCUAUUGCUGAUGAGAAUGCUAGGUUGAAGACAUUGCUUGAAACAGGGAUGUACAAAAGUCUCAAAGGGCAUCAGACACUAUGUGAUGUCCUCAAAAGGCAGAUCCUGAACCGAAACCCGAGGAAAGAGGGUGUUGGGUUUGUAAGGAAAAUGAAUGCUGAUGGCUCUUACUGGAAACCGGAGCAGUACCCCAAAACCACAUGGGUUGCUGCAAAAGAACCUUCAGCAGAUCCAUCCACUCUAUCUGGCUUCACUUGUGCUAACCCCAUUGUCACUGAUGAAUCCUUUGAUGCAAACUAUAAAAUGUUUAUGAAUCAGAAUGGUGAAGUGUUUGCCAGGUAUAUUGGUACUAACUGCAGGAAUGGGCCGCCUAUGAAGAAGAUCUGGGUGCCGAAAAAGUGUUUGGAGAAUCUUCCUAUGAAUGUCAUCAUGACACCACAGGUGAAGAAGACAAACCCAAGACCACAGGCUUCAUACGGUCCAAAGGCUUCAUACAGACAGAGGACUCACCUGAGUCGCACUAACGCAAAUCUUUUGCAGGGAAACCAUACUCAGGCCUAUGAAUAUGAGCGCGGUUCAUCAAACCGCCAUGUUCAUAAGACCAAGAACUAUUCUGCUUAUUCUUAUGAGUACUAUUGUCCGCCUGCAAGACUUUUUGCUAGGGCUCCAAAGCCAAAGUUCUCAGAUGCUGCACUUCGACUUAUUGCUUCUAAGCCACCCUUGAAGAUGUGGGUGGCUAAGAAAGCUUAUCUCUCUUUUGCAGGAAAGGGUCUCCAGCAGAAAACCAAAAUCGUCUGACGCUAUUGCUGGGGACCUUAAACAUCUUGUAGGGUGCAAGAUCAAAUGCCCAAAUGGUCUUAUUAUGUACUUCGUUCCUGAAUCUCUUGCUACUCGCCCUAUCAGUCCAAAUCUCGAUCUAAGCUUUCAUAACCCACUGGUUCGUCAAAUGUUUUUGCUUCACAAUUCUCUUCGUGAAGCCUAUCCCCCUAACUGCACUGUAGGGUACGACACCAGCAUCUUCAGAAUGGAUUAUUGAUAGUGGGUGUACCAAUCACAUGACUUGCAAAAGAAGCCUUCUUAUGGACUCAACCUUACGUCCAUCCGACAAGAGUCACAUCACAUUUGCUGACACUGGUAAAAGUAAGGUAUUGGGUCUAGGUAGAGUUGCAAUCUCAAAGGAUCAACACAUGGAUAAAGUCAUGCUUGUUGAAUCCCUUGGUUUCAACUUAAUGUCUGUCUCAAUGCUUUGUGAUUUAAACAUGAUCGUGAUGUUUGGAAAAUAUUGUUGCCUUGUUCUAAUGGAAUCUGACAAGUCUCUAGUGUUUGAAGGGUAUCGGAAAGAUGAUUUGUAAGUGGUAGAUUUCUCAGCAGGACCACAGCUUGCCGUAUGUCUUCUAGCAAAAGCUUCAGAGUGCUGGCUCUGGCAUCGGAGGCUAGGGCAUGCUAGCAUGAGGAACCUCCACACCCUUGCUAAGAAGAAGCAUGUCGUAGGCAUCGAGGGCGUCAAAUUCAAGAAAGAUCACUUAUGCGGUGCCUGUGAAGUAGGAAAGAUGACGAGGGCCAAGCAUCCCUCGAAGACAAUCAUGACAACAACUCAUCCCUUCGAACUGCUCCACAUGGAUCUCUUCGGUCCCACUCAUUACUCAACUCUUACUACUACUGCUUGUCUCUAUGGCUUUGUCAUUGUUGAUGAUUAUUCUAGAUAUACUUGGGUGCACAUAAUCCUCUACAAGACUGAAGUGCAGGAUGUCUUCAGACGCUUCGCCAAUCGAGCAAUGAACAACUAUGGCGCCAAGAUAAAGCACAUCAGAAGUGACAAUGGCACUGAAUUCAAGAACACUGGCCUUGAUACAUAUCUUGAUACUUUGGGCAUCACACAUGAAUUCUCAGCACCGUACACGCCACAGCAGAAUGGCAUCGUCGAACGCAAGAACAGAACACUCAUUGAGAUGGCCCGAAUGAUGCUUGAUGAAUACAAGACUCCAAGAAAAUUCUGGCCCAAAGCCAUUGAUACUGCAUGCCAUACAAUCAACCGUGUUUAUAUUCACAAGCUUCUGAACAAGACAUCUUAUGAGCUCCUUACUGGCAAGAAGCCAAAUGUCAGUUACUUCAGAGUUUUGGCGCCAGGUGCUGGAUCAAGGACCCACAUCACACUUCAAAAUUUGCACCAAAAGCACAUGAGGGUUUUAUGCUUGGAUAUGGAAAGGAUUCGCACUCCUACGGAGUCUUCAAUCUCUUUCAUUAUAAAGUGGUUGAAACAGUGGAUGUGCGGUUCGAUGAGACUAACGGUUCACAAAGAGAGCACCUGCCAAAUGUGCUAGAUGAAGUUCCAUCCAGUGAAUCAAUCAAACUUAUGGGAACUGGAGAAAUCAUACCGUCUGAAGCUCAACCUGAAGAGGAACUUAUCAUCUCCGCACCCGAUCAACCUGAAGACAAUACUCAGCCUGAAGAUAAUCCUUCUAACAAUGAGAAUGAUCAGCAAGAGCAAAAUCUUCGCCCUGUACAUCCUCGUGUUGCCAAUGAAGUGCAGAUUGAGAGAAUAAUUGAUAGCAUCAAUGCACCCGGUCCGCUCACUCGUUCAAGGGCAACACAGCUAGCAAAUUUCUGUGGGCACUUCGCAUUCGUCUCAAUAACAGAACCCAAGAAAGUUGAAGAAGCCUUCAUGGAACCUGAAUGGAUUCAAGCUAUGCAAGAAGAGCUUCAACAGUUUAAGCUGAAUAAUGUAUGGGAACUGGUUAAGCGUCCUGAUCCUUGGAAGCACAAUAUAAUAGGCACCAAAUGGAUAUACCGCAACAAGCAAGAUGAGCAUGGUCAAGUUGUCAGAAACAAAGCUCGUCUCGUUGCUCAAGGAUAUACUCAAGUGGAAGGGAUUGACUUCGAUGAAACAUUUGCUCCCGUGGCUCGACUUGAAGCCAUACGCAUACUGCUGGCCUAUGCAAAUCAUCAUAACAUACUUCUAUAUCAAAUGGAUGUGAAGAGCGCUUUUCUCAAUGGCAAGAUUGAAGAAGAAGUGUUUGUUGCACAACCGCCUGGCUUUGAAGAUCCAAAACAUCCUAACAUGGUAUACAAGCUCAACAAUGCACUGUAUGGCCUCAAACAAGCCCCUCGGGCUUGGUAUGACACACUCAAAUACUUCCUGAAGAGCAAAGGCUUCAUACCUGGUUCCCUCGACCCCACUCUCUUCACGAAGACAUGUGAUGGUGAACUGUUUGUGUGCCAAAUAUAUGUGGAUGACAUCAUCUUCGGCUGCACCAAUUAGAAGUACAGUGAAGAGUUUGGAUAUAUGAUGCAAGAUAAAUAUCAGAUGUCCAUGAUGGGAGAGCUGAAGUUCUUCCUCGGUCUUCAAAUACGACAGCAACACAACGGCAUCUUCAUAUCUCAAGAGAAGUAUCUCAAAGAUUUCCUGAAGAAGUUCGGUAUGCAAGACUGCAAAGGCUUCAUGACGCCAAUGCCAGCCAAACAUCAUCUGGGUCCCGACGACAAUGGUAAAGAGUUCGAUCAAAAGGUAUACUGCUCCAUGAUUGGUUCUUUAAUUUAUCUAUGUGCAUAUAGGCCAGAUAUUAUGCUUAGUGUUUGCAUGUGUGCUCGAUUCCAAGCAGCACCAAAGGAAUCGCAUCACUUAGCCGUGAAGCAAAUUCUUCGAUAUUUGGCUCACACCCCAACUCUAGGAUUAUGGUAUCCAAAGGGCUCAGAGUUUGAUCUGGUUGGAUUCUCGGAUGCUGAUUAUGCUGGUGACAAGGUUGAUCGCAAGUCUACAUCAGGCACAUGUCAUUUUCUGGGACGAUCACUUGUAUGUUGGUCUUCAAAGAAGCAGAACUGUGUAUCUCUCUCCACUGCUGAAUCUGAAUACAUUGCUGCUGGAUCUUGCUGCACUCAGCUUCUUUGGAUGAAGCAAACACUCAAAGACUAUGGCAUUCAUCUGAAGCAAGUGCCACUUUACUGCGACAACGAAAGCGCCAUCAAGAUUACCAACAACCCAGUUCAGCACUCGAAGACAAAGCACAUUGAGAUUCGUCAUCACUUUCUCAGAGAUCAUGUUGUCAAGGAAGACAUUGAUAUCAUACACGUCAACACCGAAGAGCAAUUGGCUGAUAUCUUCACCAAGCCCUUGGAUGAGAAGAGAUUUUGCAAGUUACGGUGUGAGCUAAAUAUCUUGGAAUCCUCAAAUGUCCUGUGAUCAGGCACACAUCCUAACACUUAUGCAUAUUGAUGACUUAGAUGUGGAACACACGAAGUAAAGUAUAUCUUCAAUCAAUGAAGACAUGCAUUCUAAGUGUGAAUAUAUUAAUGAGGAAUUUGACUUCGGAGCGCCACGAUAAUUGUGCGCCGUGUUUGGGUCUAAUACUUCCUAUACGAUGGGUAACGCCACCACCAAAUGUUCCGUUUGAAGUGUUUCACUCAUGGCGUUAUAUUUGCUGUGUCUUCACAUUUAGUUUGGCUUCAAUCUCAACAUGUCUUUAUGACUAUCUUCACUAUGUUGAUUAUAUAUAUAUACUAGUGUUCUGUCCUCUACAGCAUUCACUUAUAGCUAUGUCUUCUUAUUGAAUCUUUUGAACUAAGUGAAUGUGAUCGGACCCUAACCUCUCUAUGCUUUCUAUCUCAAACUCUAUCUCUCCAAAUCAUAUGCAUUCUUUUGAAACUGUCAAAUGUCUUCUCUGCAUCCUUGUCAGCAGAAGAUACAGAGACAAACAUUAAGUCCGCUUUCAAUGCUAAUUCCUUCACCUGAAACCCGGAGAAGUGGGAACGACCACCCGACAAUCCAGGCGUGCGUGGGACAUGGAACAACCUCCGACAUGCUGCAUGAUGGCCACGUGUUCCUCAGAUGUGAAUCGCCAGGGGCACCUGUGUAAUAACACUGAGCCGCCCCUGUCCCUAUAAAUACACGCCUCACCACAGUCAUUAUCUCUUCUUCCACUCUCGCACGAACCCUAGCGCCACCGCUAGCCCUCGACGACGCCGGCGACGAAGCGCUUAGCUGCCGCAACCUCUCCGACGCCGUCUUCACGCCGACCGCGGACAUCGUCUUCUCCGCCGUCGCUGUAGGUGUCCUCCAUCGCCAAGUUAGGGCACGGACGAUCGGACUGCUCGGCCUCCUCUUCCACUCCGUCUAGCAGUUCUUCGUGUGGUAAAUAAAACUUCCUUUUUAUAGCCCCUUUGAUCCUAUAGAUUCGUCACUUUCUACCACAAGCAGUUUCUGUUCACACAAGUUGGAUCUAUUUCAUACUGCAUCUCAUAAUAUGCCUAGUAUCACUACAGGAAUCAGCUACUUUGCCAUCUGCCACGGCAGACGGCAAAGGCAUGGAUGGCUGACGGCAAAGGUCUUUGCCAUCCGCCGCAGACGGCAAAAGGUGAUGGCAAAGUAAGGUUCGGCAAAGAGGUACUUUGCCGUCUGCUUCGGGCGGCUAGCGGCAAAGGAGCCUUUGCCAUCAGCAGCGGACGGCAAAGAGUGCAGACGGCAAUAAAUGCGUUGUUACUCCGUUAGGUGGUUAACGGCAGGCCUUUGCCAUCUGCCGCUGACGGCAAACUUCGGAAGGCCUUUGCCGUCCGCCGAGUGAUGUCAGCCGACGUCACUACAUGGCAGGCCUUUGUCGUCCGCCACUGUAGGAAAAGUUUUUAAUCUUUGCCGUCCGCCGCCGACGGCAAAGCCUUUGCCGUCAGCCACUGUAGGCAAACUGACCAAAUUGGUCAGCCUCCCAGGAAGCACAGUUGCCUGCCAUGUGGCCUCUUUGCCGUCCGCUGCUGAUGGCAAAGAGCCCUUUGCUGUCGGUGGCAGACGGCAAAGAGCCUGCAUAUUGUCUCUUUUUUCUGUUUUUUCUUAAUCCAACAAUUUUCACAGCAAAUAUAUAUGACAUAUAUAGAUAUAUUUAACAGCAAACAUAUCACAUAUCCAGCACAUAAUUCCAUAUACAUAUGACACAGCAAAGUUUCAUCAACAUAGCAAGUUCCAUCCAUACACAUUGUUCCAUAUACAUAUUACAUAGCAAAGUUUCAUCAACAUAGCAAGUUCUAUCAUAGCAAGCUAGAUACAAUGCAAAGUUUUAGCAAAGAAAAAGCAAGCACUCCAUCAUAGCAAGCUAGCUUCCAUGAAGUGAGUGAAAUCUGCAAAAUGGUAAAUAAGAAAGUUAGAAAUAGGUGAAUAGAACAAGAAGACUAGAACAAGAAGUAUAUGUCAUUUAUGACCUAACUUAGGUGGAAUGGAUCAUUUAUGAGCUAACUUAGGUGGAAUGGAUCAUUUAUGAGCUAACUAAGUUGAAAUGGGUUGUUUAUGAGCUAAGUUAGUUGAAAUGGAUCAUUUAUGAGCUAACUAAGGUGAAAUGGGUCAUUUUGGAGCUAACCUAGGUGAAAUGGGUCAUUUUAAAGCUAAUGUAGGUAAAAUGGAUCAUUUAGGAGCUAAUCUACGUAAAAUGGGUCAUUUUAGAGCUAACUUGGAUAAAUUGGAUCACUUAUAAGCUAACUAAGGUAAAAUGAGUCAUUUUAGAGCUAACUUAGGUAAAAUGGAUCGUUUAUGAGCUAACUAAGUUAAUUAUGCAAUUUUUGACAUAAGUAAGCUAAGUACAUAUCGUUUUAGAGCUAACUUAGGUAAAAUGGAUGGUUUAUGAGGUCAGUAAGCUUAUGAGGAUGGAUUGGUGGAGGAAUUGGAUUCUGAAAAUUCUGAGGAUGAAGUUGAGCUAACCUAGGUGAAAUGGGUCAUUUAUGAGCUAACCUAGGUCAAAUGGGUCGUUUAUGAGGUAACCUAGGUGUAAUGGGUCGUUUAUGAGCUAACCUAGGUGAAAUUGAUCAUUUUGGAGCUAACUUAGUUGAAAUGGGUCUUUUAUGAGCUAACUAAGGUGAAAUGCCACGUUUUUGAGCUAACUAAGGUAAAAUGUAUCGUUUGUGAGCUAACUUAGGUGAAAUGGGUCUUUUAUGAGCUAACCUAGGUGAAAUGGGUUGUUUAUGAGCUAACCUAGGUGAAAUGGGUCAUUUAUGAGCUAACCUAGGUCAAAUGGGCGUUUAUGAGGUAACCUAGGUGAAAUGGGUCGUUUAUGAGCUAACCUAGGUGAAAUUGAUCAUUUUGGAGCUAACUUAGUUGAAAUGGGUCUUUUAUGAGCUAACUAAGGUGGAAUGCCACGUUUUUGAGCAAACUAAGGUAAAAUGGAUCGUUUUUGAGCUAAGUUAGGUGAAAUGGAUCAUUUUGGAGCUAACCUAGGUGAAAUGGGUCAUUUUGGAUCAAACCUAGGUGAAAUGGGUCAUUUUAAAGCUAACGUAGGUAAAAUGGAUCAUUUAGGAGCUAAUCUACGUAAAAUGGGUCAUUUUAGAGCUAACUUGGAUAAAUUGGAUCACUUUUAAGCUAACUAAGGUAAAAUGAGUCAUUUUAGAGCUAACUUAGGUAGAAUGGGUGGUUUAUGAGGUCAGUAAGCUUAUUAAGUCAUUUUGGAGGAAAAGAAGCUAACUCUAGGUGAUUAUGGUAAGCAUAUUGGAGGAAAUAAAGCUAAGUCUAGGUCUUUAUGCAUUUGUUAAGCAAAACACUAGAGAAACUUACCGUGAUCACGGAGAUGUAGGAGCGGGCUAGCUCGCGCCGGUAGCUGGAGAAGGAGCGGGCUGGCUCGUGCCAGUAGCUGGAGAAGGAUCGUGCGAUGCGUUUCUGGAGUUAAGCUGCACCAAAGAUCAUUUCCAAUGUCUCGUUAGCAUUAUGACACUCAAAUGUUAAGACUAGCAAGUAAUGUCCAUUCAAAUUAAACUCACCGUGCUCCCAGGAGCAAUCACUGGCAUCAGUGGAGCGGUCUGACCGGACUUCUCGCACACAGACUGCACAUUUGGUUUUCACAACAGAGCCAUACUAGUUAGUAAUGAGACUCAAAUGUUAAGACUAGCAAGUAAUCUGCAGAAGAAACUUACCACAAGGAGCUCGUACAUGGCCCUUGCCUGCAUGCCAUUCCGUGCCCUCUCCUCCUCCAACAUCUUUGUCGUCCUUUCCUCCAACUCCCGCUGCCUCUCCGCCACCUCCGCCAGAAGUUUCUCCGUUCUAUCUCUCUCACUCUGUAUAGCAGCCUGCAACACCACUCGCAUGACCAUUUGUAAUCAUUGAUGGAAGCGCACAAAAUGUAAUGGAGAAAGAUAGCUGAGUACGUAUAACUAACCUUGAAGGCGAGUUGGACUGGCCGUUCACGAGGCCUUAUCUCAGGAGCGGAGCUCGACUGGCGCGCCCUGAUCUCCGGGAGAGUGCUAGGACAACGGAUAAGUCCAUCUCCCAUGGCUAUGGAGCCAUGGGACCUCCCGCCACCAGAUAUCAUUAGCAGCUCUGUAUCAAUGGGACCCUGGCUCGGGUUAAAGUCCUCCCCUUUCCUCGCCUUCCCCUGAUCUCUAUAUUGCACAAGCUUGUCAUGGGCGGAGAUGUUGGUGAAGUUCUUUGGAUCAUCAAGGUCAGACGCAGAGAAUGCCUUGACUUUCUUGUAAGGGCCAGUGUGGGCCAUGGCAUACAGGUCGUACACCUCUGGCACCUUAUCCGCCUUAUUGUCGCGUGCCUGAAAGAGAGAAACAAAGUAAAUUAGUAAUUAAAGGGCUAAAGCUAGCAUGAUGAAUGAAUUGCAUGAAUCAUGAAGCAAACCACAUACCCAGUUCCGCCCGUACUGAAAUAAGUUGGAGCUGCCUUGGUGGUGUGGCACACCUUCCAUUUGGGCACUUUUGUCCUUGGCAUCUUUGUGGGUGGCCGGCCAUUCUUUUGAGCACCACGCAUUGACCAACACCUCCCAACAAUCUAUCCGAUCUGCACACCAUCUCGGAGGGGCCUAAGUUAGCAAAUAGAAACUUGAGCGCUACGGCUAUGAAUUACUAAAUGAAGGAAGUAAGUACAAGGCCUUAAGAAUUACCUUCAUGUACUUCUCCUUACUCAAGAACUUAUCGUGGCACUCCUGCUUGGGCUUCUUGAUACCACGCCCAGCGUAGUAGUCUCGAACAGCCUGCACCCGAACCUCAUGCCGUAAGUUCUGAAGUAGGAGCUUGCACUCCUUGUGGAUAACAUGAUCCGCCUCCUCCUCGUAUCCCUCCUCACACCUGUAGAAUGUCUGCAAUCAAAUGAGACAAUAUUGAUUAGUACAAUUAAUAACUAGCUAGUUGAAGAUUUUUAAUUGUGUAAAGGAGCAAUUACCCAGAACUUUCUGAUCACGGCGUCUGCCCUCGUCUUGCACAAGACACCGUCGAUAAUCUCACCCGGCGGGGCCGGGGCAGCCAAGUAGUGCUCCCAAGUCAAUCCAACCUCUAGAAGCCGACCCUCACCAGGCAACGUGACAAACCCCGGGAAGUUUUGCCGAAUCAGAACUCCAAGGACGGAGUUGGGCCGGCGGGCACUUUCAUGGUGGUCCCAACCCCUACAGCAUGACAAGGCCAACACAUCAGUUAUUUGAAGAAACGUGAAUGCAGAAGGUACAAAAAGAUUAAAUGCAGAAGGGUCGCCGGCACGGACGGGAGCUGUGUAGCACCAUGCUGGUAGACGUUGCCCCCCUCCUCCCCCUCCUCAUCAGUCGGCUCCCCGUCAUCAUCAGCAUGGCCACUCGGCUCCCCGCCAUCAUCAGCGUGGCCACUCGGCUCCUCAGGCUGACCCGACCAGGUACCCCAUCCAGACGUGUGCUCCUCCAGGGUCUCGUGGGCCCAAGUCUCGUGGGUCGAAGGCCCGUCGACCUGAGGCUCGUGGGCCGAAGACCCAUGGACCGGAGGCUCGUGGACCGGAGUUCGUGCAGCCUCCUCCUCAGACGAGUCCACCCUAGCAGUCACGUGCUCGGGUGAAACCGCUGGGGGUGGCGGCGAGGAAGGCGCCGUAAGAGUCACCCUACCUCCUCUCCUGCGACCACGUGCUCCACCUCCUCUCUUCUUCUUACCUCGUCCCCUGCUGGGCACCGCGGUCGACAAAGAAGGGCCCGGCGGUGUCGCCAUACUGUCCAGCAACGCUCGGCGGAGAGGUGCCUGUGGAAUGGAAGACCUCGCACCACGCGCCGACGAAGAAGGGGCCUCGGCGCGCUCCCGACCAGCGCCCACCAUCUUUCAACACCUGCCAUGAAAAAGAAUAAACGAAAUUAGUACAACAUAAAAAAAA
rnacentral:lncRNA from 1 species